AAACGGGUCCUUCAGCUCUUCCUUUCCCAGUUUCUUCCAUUACUAUUUCCAGGUGAGGAUGUGGAGGUGGGGCGGCAGGUGCCAACAGAGCGAGAUGCAGGCUGCUCCCGCGAUGUGGAGAUGAUAAGGAGAACGACCCAGCACUGAGCCAGUCCUUCCUCUCCGGGCAUUUGUCACUUUCUCCCGUGUGACUGGCCCCGCUUAUCUCUGGUGUUGGCCGCAAAGCCCACACAGAGGUAUGGUCUUCAAUAAUGACACUGGCCUCUCUGAGAUUUAUACACUGGGAGAAAGUAGGCGUGGAGGAAGACAAGAGAAAGGAGAGAGCCAGGAAGUUGUUCUUUAAGAAGCGCCUACAUUACGCCAAGCAUCAUAGGUGGCUUUCAGAGACAUCACAG
rnacentral:lncRNA from 1 species